rnacentral:rRNA from 1 species
AUGCACGCUGGCGGCGUGCCUCAUACAUGCAAGUCGCACGAAACUUCUUUAUCACCGAGUGCUUGCACUCACCGAUAAAGAGUUGAGUGGCGAACGGGUGAGUAACACGUGGGCAACCUGCCCAAAAGAGGGGGAUAACACUUGGAAACAGGUGCUAAUACCGCAUAACCAUAGUUACCGCAUGGUAACUAUGUAAAAGGUGGCUAUACUACCGCUUUUGGAUGGGCCCGCGGCGCAUUAGCUAGUUGGUAGGGUAAAGGCUUACCAAGGCAAUGAUGCGUAGCCGAAUUGAGAGGUUGAUCGGCCACAUUGGGACUGAGACACGGCCCAAACUCCUACGGGAGGCAGCAGUAGGGAAUCUUCCACAAUGGGCGAAAGCCUGAUGGAGCAACGCCGCGUGGGUGAAGAAGGUCUUCGGAUCGUAAAACCCUGUUGUUAGAGAAGAAAGUGCGUGAGAGUAACUGUUCACGUUUCGACGGUAUCUAACCAGAAAGCCACGGCUAACUACGUG